rnacentral:rRNA from 1 species
CAGCAGCCGCGGGAAUACGUAGGUGGCAAGCGUUGUCCGGAAUUAUUGGGCGUAAAGGGCUCGCAGGCGGUUUCUUAAGUCUGAUGUGAAAGCCCCCGGCUCAACCGGGGAGGGUCAUUGGAAACUGGGAAACUUGAGUGCAGAAGAGGAGAGUGGAAUUCCACGUGUAGCGGUGAAAUGCAUAGAGAUGUGGAGGAACACCAGUGGCGAAGGCGACUCUCUGGUCUGUAACUGACGCUGAGGAGCGAAAGCGUGGGGAGCGAACAGGAUUAGAUACCCCAGUAGUCCCUGUCUCUUAUAA